AGAGUUUGAUCCUGGCUCAGGAUGAACGCUGGCGGUCUGCUUAACACAUGCAAGUCGAACGGAGUGCUUCGGCACUUAGUGGCGGACGGGUGAGUAACGCGUGAGAAUCUGCCUUCAGGUUGGGGACAACAGUUGGAAACGACUGCUAAUACCCAAUGUGCCGAGAGGUGAAAGCUUUAGUGCCUGAGGAUGAGCUCGCGUCUGAUUAGCUAGUUGGAGUGGUAACGGCACACCAAGGCGACGAUCAGUAGCUGGUCUGAGAGGAUGAUCAGCCACACUGGGACUGAGACACGGCCCAGACUCCUACGGGAGGCAGCAGUGGGGAAUUUUCCGCAAUGGGCGCAAGCCUGACGGAGCAAGACCGCGUGAGGGAGGAAGGCUCUUGGGUUGUAAACCUCUUUUAUCAGGGAAGAAGAUCUGACGGUACCUGAUGAAUCAGCAUCGGCUAACUCCGUGCCAGCAGCCGCGGUAAUACGGAGGAUGCAAGCGUUAUCCGGAUUUAUUGGGCGUAAAGCGUCCGCAGGUGGUUUUACAAGUCUGCUGUUAAAGCGCGAGGCUUAACCUCGUACAGGCAGUGGAAACUGUGAGACUAGAGUAUGGUAGGGGUAGCGGGAAUUCCCAGUGUAGCGGUGAAAUGCGUAGAUAUUGGGAAGAACACCAGCGGCGAAAGCGCGCUACUGGGCCAUUACUGACACUCAUGGACGAAAGCUAGGGGAGCGAAAGGGAUUAGAUACCCCUGUAGUCCUAGCUGUAAACGAUGGAUACUAGGUGUUGCCCGUAUCGACCCGGGCAGUGCCGUAGCUAACGCGUUAAGUAUCCCGCCUGGGGAGUAUGCACGCAAGUGUGAAACUCAAAGGAAUUGACGGGGGCCCGCACAAGCGGUGGAGUAUGUGGUUUAAUUCGAUGCAACGCGAAGAACCUUACCAGGGCUUGACAUGUCGCGAAUCCCGGUGAAAGUCGGGAGUGCCUUCGGGAGCGCGAACACAGGUGGUGCAUGACUGUCGUCAGCUCGUGUCGUGAGAUGUUGGGUUAAGUCCCGCAACGAGCGCAACCCUCGUUUUUAGUUGCCAGCAUUUAGUUGGGCACUCUAGAGAGACUGCCGGUGACAAACCGGAGGAAGGUGGGGAUGACGUCAAGUCAGCAUGCCCCUUACGUCCUGGGCUACACACGUACUACAAUGCUACGGACAAAGGGUUGCGAGCUAGCGAUAGCAAGCUAAUCCCAUAAACCGUGGCUCAGUUCAGAUUGCAGGCUGCAACUCGCCUGCAUGAAGGAGGAAUCGCUAGUAAUCCCAGGUCAGCAUACUGGGGUGAAUACGUUCCCGGGCCUUGUACACACCGCCCGUCACACCAUGGGAGUUGGCCACGCCCGAAGUCGUUACUCCAACCGCUUGCGGAGGAGGAUGCCGAAAGCAGGGCUGAUGACUGGGGUGAAGUCGUAACAAGGUAGCCGUACCGGAAGGUGUGGCUGGAUCACCUCCU
rnacentral:rRNA from 2 species